UCUCCGGCAGCCCUCUCCACUCUUAAGGCGAAGAAACAAGCUUCCAAGGGAGGAAACGUGGCCAGGAAACUGAGAGGCCCCAUGUUCUCUUUCUUUGCUUGAUUUAUUUUUCCUAAAAAAAAACAGCCACGCGGCAAAAUAAUCCAUAUGUUACAGAUAUCCACCUGAAGAUGGCAACAUGGCAGGACAACUGGUAAACCAAGCUUAAGAAACAGCAUGAAGAGAAGCAGAUCAUAGUCUCUCCUGGGCUUGAAAAAUAUCAUGUGGAGGGGAAAAUCACAUGUAUUUGGGGGUGGAGGAAAAGGGACCCUCCUAUACUGUUGAUGGGAAUGCAAAUUGGUACAGCCUCUGUGAAUAACAAUAUGGAGUUUCCUUUAAAAAACGAAAACUAGAGCUAACAUAUGACCCUGCGGCCCUACUCUUGGGCAUGCCUCCGGAGAACACUCUAAUUCGGAAAGACACGUGAACCCAGUGUCCAUGGCAGCACUGUUUGCAAUAGCCAAGAUGUGGAAAUGACUUGGAAGGUGAAUGAAUGGAUCAAGGAGAUGUGGUGUGUACAAUGGACUCGUGCUCAGCCACGAGAAAGAAUGAGAGAACGCCAUUUGCAGCGACACGGAUUGAACUCGAGAUUAUCGUAUGAAGCGAAAUGAAGAAACUGAGGCCCAGAGAGGUCACCUGAGGUCACAGAGUCAAGAUUUGGCUGUGCUCGAAUCUGACAUAGCCGGACACACCUCUAUCGCCUGACACAGCCGUCCUCACAUUCUCAUUGUUCGUGGACACCCAGAGAGAUACAGAGGUUAUUUGAGGGAACAUGGGCUUCUGACGUGGCUCAGUGGUGAAGAAUCCGCCUGCCAAUGUAAUGCAGGAGACGUGGAUCCCUGGGUCGGGAAGAUCUCCUG